AAAGACGCAGUCUUCGGGCUGAUGAUCCUUCUCCAUCUUAUUAGAACAUAGAUCGCAGGCCAGUCAGCUGACGAUCGCUUUGCAGGCGUGCCGCUUUCGUUUCUCUUUCUUCAUUGUUGAUUGACACUUGUACCGCUCACGAGCCGUAUUGCAGCUGCGCUGCUUGGCUCUGCGCGAGCGCGCCGCAUGAGCGGCGACGGACUAGCGUCCUGUAUUUGGUUCUAACGGUUUGUUUGUUGGUUCUGAUACAAGGGCUUGUAGCUCAGUUGGUUAGAGCACACGCUUGAUAAGCGUGGGGUCGGAGGUUCAAGUCCUCCCAGGCCCACCAAAUUGUGAUAAGGGGCCAUAGCUCAGCUGGGAGAGCACCUGCUUUGCAAGCAGGGGGUCGUCGGUUCGAUCCCGUCUGGCUCCACCAUCACUUUUUUGGUGUCGAGUAGGACGGAUAGACAGUCAGUCAACAAGAGAAAGAACCAAGUUUGCGGACUUUACGAAGUCUGCGUGUUCUGUAUGAAAUCGUGAAGAGAAGAUGUAAUCGGAUCAGCUUUAUGGCUGAUGUCGCAAUGGUUUGCUCAAACCUUGCAUUAUGAUUGGACGCUAACCGCGCCACCGAUUGUAUCUCGAGAAGCUGGUCUUUCUGCUGAUAACGUUGAAGCUGAACAAGCAUUUGCAGUCAAAUGGCAACAUUUGACGUCGCAUAAUGCGUUGUAAGAAUGUUUGA
rnacentral:tRNA from 1 species